GGCCUUGACAUACUAAGAACUUUCCAGAGAUGGAUUGGUGCCUUCGGGAACUUAGAUACAGGUGCUGCAUGGCUGUCGUCAGCUCGUGUCGUGAGAUGUUGGGUUAAGUCCCGCAACGAGCGCAACCCUUUUCCUAUUUGCCAGCGGGUCAUGCCGGGAACUUUUAAGGAUACUGCCAGUGACAAACUGGAGGAAGGCGGGGACGACGUCAAGUCAUCAUGGCCCUUACGGCCAGGGCUACACACGUGCUACAAUGGUCGGUACAAAGGGUUGCUACCUCGCGAGAGGAUGCUAAUCUCAAAAAGCCGAUCGUAGUCCGGAUCGCAGUCUGCAACUCGACUGCGUGAAGUCGGAAUCGCUAGUAAUCGCGGAUCAGAAUGCCGCGGUGAAUACGUUCCCGGGCCUUGUACACACCGCCCGUCACACCAUGGGAGUUUGUUGCACCAGAAGUAGGUAGUCUAACCGCAAGGAGGACGCUUACCACGGUGUGGCCGAUGACUGGGGUGAAGUCGUAACAAGGUAAGCGUAGAUGA
rnacentral:rRNA from 1 species